rnacentral:rRNA from 1 species
GAUGAACGCUGGCGGCGUGCCUAAUACAUGCAAGUCGAGCGAACGGACGAGAAGCUUGCUUUUCUGAUGUUAGCGGCGGACGGGGGAGUAAAACGUGGAUAACCUACCUAUAAGACUGGGAUAACUUCGGGAAACCGGAGCUAAUACCGGAUAAUAUUUUGAACCGCAAGGUUCAAAAGUGAAAGACGGUCUUGCUGUCACUUAUAGAUGGAUCCGCGCUGCAUUAGCUAGUUGGUAAGGUAACGGCUUACCAAGGCAACGAUGCAUAGCCGACCUGAGAGGGUGAUCGGCCACACUGGAACUGAGACACGGUCCAGACUCCUACGGGAGGCAGCAGUAGGGAAUCUUCCGCAAUGGGCGAAAGCCUGACGGAGCAACGCCGCGUGAAUGAUGAAGGUCUUCGGAUCGUAAAACUCUGUUAUUAGGGAAGAACAUAUGUGUAAGUAACUGUGCACAUCUUGACGGUACCUAAUCAGAAAGCCACGGCUAACUACGUG